UUUUGUUUUUUAGGCGCAUGGUGGAUGCCUGGGUAUGCUAAGCCGAUGAAGGACGUGAUAGGCUGCGUUAAGCCUCGGGGAGUUGCCUGAUGAGCGUUGAUCCGAGGGUGUCCGAAUGGGGAAACCCGGCCAUGGUUAUGUGUGGUCACCCGCCAGUGAAGAAGAUAGUUGGUUGGGGGGUUACGCGGGGAAGUGAAACAUCUUAGUACCCGUAGGAGGAGAAAACAAGAGUGAUUCUGCUAGUAGUGGCGAGCGAACGUGGAUAAGGCUAAACCGUGUGCGUGUGAUACCGGGUAGGGGUUACGCAUGCGGGGUUAGAGGAGCAUAACAUUACUGGUUCUACCUUGGCUGGUGCUGUUGUUGGUGUGUGUUAGUGGAAGUGGUGUGGAAUCGCCUGCCAGAGACGGUGAGAGUCCGGUACACGAAAACAUGCACUUGCGGGGUUGUUGUGUUUCCUGAGUAGCGGCGGGCUCGUGGAAUCUGUCGUGAAUUUGCCGGGACCACCCGGUAAGCCUAAAUACUUAGCAUGACCGAUAGUGGAUCAAGUACCGUGAGGGAAUGGUGAAAAGUACCCCGGGAGGGGAGUGAAAGAGUACCUGAAACCAUGUGCUGAUAAUCCGUCAUAGCCCCCCCUUGUGGUGGGGUGGUGGCGUGCCUUUUGAAGAAUGAGCCUGCGAGUCAGUGGCAUGUUGCGUGGUUAACCAUGAGUGUGGGGAGCCGUAGCGAAAGCGAAUCCUAACUAGGGUGUGUGUGGCAUGUUCUGGACCCGAAGCGGGGUGAUCUACCCAUGGCCAGUGUGAAGCAGAGGUAAGACUUUGUGGAGGCGCGAACCCACUUAGGUUGAAAACUGAGGGGAUGAGUUGUGGGUAGGGGUGAAAGGCCAAUCAAACUCCGUGAUAGCUGGUUCUCCCCGAAAUGCAUUUAGGUGCAGCGUCGCAUUGUGUGCUUGUUGGAGGUAGAGCUACUGGUUGGUUGAGCGGGACGAUAAUCUUAGCAACAUCAGCUAAACUCCGAAUGCCAGCAAUGUGGGUGCGGCAGUGAGACUGCGGGGGAUAAGCUCCGUUGGUCGAGAGGGAAACAGCCCAGAUCGUCGGUUAAGGCCCCUAAGGGUGUGCUCAGUGGGAAAGGAUGUGGGAUCGCGAAGACAGCCAGGAGGUUGGCUUAGAAGCAGCCAUCCUUGAAAGAGUGCGUAAUAGCUCACUGGUUAAGUGGUGAUGCGCCGAUAAUGUAGUGGGGCUUAUAAAGUACACCGCCGAAACCGCGGCAACACACAUUGUGUGUGUUGGGUAGGGGAGCGUCGUGCAUGCGUGGAAGCUGUCACGGAAGUGGUGGUGGAGUGUGUGCGAGUGAGAAUGCAGGCAUGAGUAGCGAAAAACAUGUGGAAAACGUGUUCGCCGGAUGACUAAGGGUUCCUGGGUGAAGCUAAUCUUCCCAGGGUGAGUCGGGACCUAAGGCGAGGCCGACAGGCGUAGUCGAUGGAUAACGGGUUGAUAGUCCCGUACCCGUGUAUGCGCGACAAGUGGUGACUCGGUUGUACUAACCACCCACCACCAUUGAUGUUCACACGUUGUGUGUUUGUUGGUGUGUGGUGCGUGGGAUCUUGAUCGUUGGUAGCCAAGCGAUGGGGUGACACAGAUUGGUAGUCAAGGCCACUUAUUGGAUUGUGGUGUAAGCGUGUGGCCCGUAGGAUAGGUAAAUCCGUUCUGCAUAUAGGGUGAGGCGUGAUGCGUACCCAGAUUGUUGGGGAUGUUUGAUGUGCCUGUGCUGUCGAGAAAAGCCUCUAGCGAUGUGUGUGCACGGCCCGUACCGGAAACCGACACAGGUGGUCUGGUUGAGGAUACUAAGGCGUUCGGGUGAACUAUGGUUAAGGAACUCGGCAAAAUGCCCCCGUAACUUCGGGAGAAGGGGGGCCAUGUGCGGCAAUCACCCCUUGUGCGGUGUGCGUUGUGUGUGGCCGCAGAGAAGUGAGGGAAGCGACUGUUUAUUAAAAACACAGGUCCGUGCGAAGACGUUGCAAGUCGAGGUAUACGGACUGACGCCUGCCCGGUGCUGGAAGGUUAAGAGGACUCGUGAGCACACCCUCGUGGUGUGUGAGGCGGGUAAUUGAAGCCCCAGUAAACGGCGGUGGUAACUAUAACCAUCCUAAGGUAGCGAAAUUCCUUGUCGGGUAAGUUCCGACCUGCACGAAUGGCGUA
rnacentral:rRNA from 1 species